GGGCUGCCGUGCCCGGGAGCUGCCUCAGCACGGCCCGGCAGCGCGGGUACGCGGCCGGAGCGGCGCUGGCCCUGCCGGCCGGCCCGGCGCGGAGCUGGCAGCGCCCGCCGGCCCCGCCAGAGGGAGACAGAGCCCGGCGCUCCCGCCCGGAGCUGCGCCCAGCCCCGGCGGCGCCGGCAUUGGCCGUGUAGGGCGAGGAGGGAGAGGGGCACCCACACGCCCAAGGGAGGUCCUGCUGCUGUCCUGUGAUGGUCAGGCAUCCUUCAGGCUGGUGGAGAGAAAAAUCCUGGGCAUUGGCAGGCUUGCCGGGACUCCUGGGAGCUACUUGAAGAGACCUCAGGGUCAAAAUGCCCCUUACUAUUCUGAGCCCAGAGGUCCUCCCAGCACCAGCACAGCUGCCACAGUCCUCAUCUGCUGCAGCCUCAGAUGGUUCCUGCUGAACUUCUGUUUUCACAUAUGCAGUUCCAUUAUUUAUGAUGUGGAUCUCCCAUACAGCCCUAUUGGUAUGAGCAAUCAUUGUGAACAUCACCUACUUUUACCACAGAAAUCUUUAAUCUUUUUUCUUUUUUUUUAAUAUGUCUUUAUGCCCUUUUUUUUUUAAUAUGUCUUCAUGCCAUCCCCAUAGGCUCAAAUAUGCAGGCACUAGGUCCCACUGUAACAUCAGUAUCAAGUGUCUGAAAUUCUUGCACCAAAAAUAUUGCUUAUGUUACAAAUGAGAAAUAAUAGCACUUGUGUCAGUAAAGAAUGAUUCAUCAUUCUGUAAGGCUUUGGCAAUGUGACAAAGGGAAAAUAUUCAGGAAAAGAGAAUAUUUUCCCAGUGUUGGUAAAAUGUUCAAUAAAAUAAAUAUGAUUUCCCUAGAGAUCACGGGCAACGAACAUCUAAUUUCAGCCUUUACAGGAAAGUGUCACUGUUUCUUUUAUUCUUUCUAACUCCACAGAAUAAGGGAUGUAUUUAUAAAAGAUUAAUAUCGAGAUAGUGGGUUUCCCAGGAAAGAUAUUUACCAUUGCUACACUUUCUUUUGACUCUUCAUAAAUGUACACAUGCUCUCAGUAUUAAUUGCCAGAUAGUUAUUUGGUGCAGCCUUGGGCACACACUAUUCAUAGAAUAAUGGAAUCAUAGAAUCAUAGCAUCACAGUAUAUGCUGAGUUAGGAAACAAAAAGCAAAGGAUAAGGAAAAGAAACCAACAGCUAAUCCCUUAUGCCAGAAAUGACCACACUUCUGGAGACAUAUGAAAACUUUUUAAACCUCACAUUUGAUAGGCCAAUUUAAACCAGAUUAUGAUCUUGAUAUGAUAUUCCAGUCCAUCUCCAUUGAAGAAAGCAUUUCAGGACCCAUUCAAUGUCAAACACCCUUAUGAAGAUAAGCAUCUCUCUGAGAGGUUUCUUGACUGUGUACGCUCCACCACAGGAUGGGUUUGCCUGCUUUUGGUGCAGCUGCCCAAACCAGCCAGCCACAAGAGUAGGAGCCUCUCCUUCUGGCAUUUCUGCCUGGAGGGUGUUUGAGAUAAUAUUGUUACUCUGUGACAGAGAAAGUAAAACCUUUGGAUGCAAAACCUUGUGAAAUACAGUGAUUUACUUAAAUAAAGGCAAACAUAAAAAAGAAAAGUAGUGAACAAAGUAGAAAAAAUGUAUCUUAGUUAUCUUUGACAGAUAUUUGAAUUGAGCAAUAAAUGAAAUUUACUUUGUUCUUCA